GUCAUUAUGUCCGAGUGGUUAAGGAGAGUGACUCGAAUCACGAUAUCACUUGGGUUCGCCCGCGCAUGUUCGAAUCAUGCUGAUGACG